rnacentral:rRNA from 1 species
UACGUAGGGUGCGAGCGUUAAUCGGAUGUACUGGGCGUAAAGCGUGCGCAGGCGGCCCGUUAAGACAGGUGUGAAAUCCCUGGGCUCAACCUAGGAAUUGCGCUUGUGACUGGCGGGCUCGAGUACGGUAGAGGGGGGUGGAAUUCCUGGUGUAGCAGUGAAAUGCGUAGAGAUCAGGAGGAACACCGAUGGCGAAGGCAGCCCCCUGGGCCUGUACUGACGCUCAUGCACGAAAGCGUGGGGAGCAAACAGG